AGGAAAAGGGGGGAGGCCUAACCAUGCAGUCGAGCGGCAGCACAAGGGAGUUUACUUCUGAGGUGGCGAGCGGCGGACGGGUGAGUAAUGCCUAGGGAUCUGCCCAGUCGAGGGGGAUAACAGUUGGAAACGACUGCUAAUACCGCAUACGCCCUACGGGGGAAAGGAGGGGACCUUCGGGCCUUCCGCGAUUGGAUGAACCUAGGUGGGAUUAGCUAGUUGGUGAGGUAAUGGCUCACCAAGGCGACGAUCCCUAGCUGUUCUGAGAGGAUGAUCAGCCACACUGGGACUGAGACACGGCCCACACUCCUACGGGAGGCAGCAGUGGGGAAUAUUGCACAAUGGGGGAAACCCUGAUGCAGCCAUGCCGCGUGUGUGAAGAAGGCCUUCGGGUUGUAAAGCACUUUCAGUAGGGAGGAAAGGAUGUAGUUUAAUACGCUAUAUCUGUGACGUUACCUACAGAAGAAAGACCGGCUAACUCCGUGCCAGCAGCCGCGGUAAUACGGAGGGUCCGAGCGUUAAUCGGAAUUACUGGGCGUAAAGCGUGCGCACGCGGUUUGUUAAGCGAGAUGUGAAAGCCCUGGGCUCAACCUAGGAAUAGCAUUUCGAACUGGCGAACUAGAGUCUUGUAGAGGGGGGUAGAAUUCCACGUGUAGCGGUGAAAUGCGUAUAGAUCUGGAGGAAUACCGGUGGCGAAAGCGGCCCCCUGGACAAAGACUGACGCUCAUGCACGAAAGCGUGGGGGAGCAAACACGGAUUAGAUACCCUGGGUAGUCCACGCCGUAAACGAUGAUCUACUUCGGAGUUUGGUGUCUUGAACACUGGGCUCUCAAGCUAACGCAUUAAGUAGACCGCCCUGGGGGAGUACUGGCCCGCAACGGUUAUAACUCAAAUGAAUUGACAGGGGCCGCCACAAGCGGCUGGGAGCAUGUGUUUAAUUUCGAUGCAACGCGAGAACCUUACUACUCUGGACAUUCACGGAGACUGCGAGAUGCCGUUGUUGCUUCGGAACGUGAGAACAGGGCUGCCAUGGCUGUCGUCAUUCUGUGUCGAAGGUAGUUAAGUCCCGCA
rnacentral:rRNA from 1 species